rnacentral:rRNA from 1 species
GUCUCCUGGGGAAUCCCUCGGCUCAACCGAUGGGCGUUCAGGAGAUACUGGCAACCUAGCGUACCGGGAGAGGUGAGAGGUACUCCAGGGGUAGGAGUGAUAUCCUGUAAUCCUUGGGGGACCACCUGUGGCGAAGGCGUCUCACUAGAACGGCUCCGACAGUGAGGGACGAAAGCUGGGGGAGCAAACCGGAUUAGAUACCCGGGUAGUCCCAGCUGUAAACGAUGCGCGUUAGGUGUAUCGGUGACCACGAGUCACCGAGGUGCCGAAGAGAAAUCGUGAAACGUGCCGCCUGGGAAGUACGGUCGCAAGGCUGAAACUUAAAGGAAUUGGCGGGGGAGCACCACAACAGGUGGAGCCUGCGGUUUAAUCGGACUCAACGCCGGGAAGCUCACCGGAUAAGACAGCUGAAUGAUAGCCGGGUUGAAGACUCUGCUUGACUAGCUGAGAGGAGGUGCAUGGCCGUCGUCAGUUCGUACUGUGAAGCAUCCUGUUAAGUCAGGCAACGAGCGAGACCCACGCCAACAGUUGCCAGCAUGUCCUCCGGGAUGGUGGGGACACUGUUGGGACCGCCUCUGCUAAAGAGGAGGAAGGAAUGGGCAACGGUAGGUCAGCAUGCCCCGAAUUAUCCGGGCUACACGCGGGCCUACAAUGGUCAGGACAAUGGGUAUCAACCCCGAAAGGUGAAGGCAAUCUCCUAAACCCUGUCCUUAGUUCGGAUUGUGGGCUGCCACUCGCCCACAUGAAGCUGGAAUCCGUAGUAAUCCCCUCUCAAAUUGGCGCGGUGAAUAUGUCCCCUGCUCCUUGGCCCCCCCCCCCGUCAACCCCCCGAAUGGAGUCUUGAUGAGGCUGCCGGAACCCCCGUGGUCCAAUCUGGUUUCCCAAGGGGGGUU